UGGGGAAUUUGGACAAUGGGCGCAAGCCUGAUCCAGCCAUGCCGCGUGCGGGAAGAAGGCCUUCGGGUUGUAAACCGCUUUUGUCAGGGAAGAAAUCUUCUGAGUUAAUACCUCGGGAGGAUGACGGUACCUGAAGAAUAAGCACCGGCUAACUACGUGCCAGCAGCCGCGGUAAUACGUAGGGUGCAAGCGUUAAUCGGAAUUACUGGGCGUAAAGCGUGCGCAGGCGGUUUUGUAAGACAGAGGUGAAAUCCCCGGGCUCAACCUGGGAACUGCCUUUGUGACUGCAAGGCUUGAGUGCGGCAGAGGGGGAUGGAAUUCCGCGUGUAGCAGUGAAAUGCGUAGAUAUGCGGAGGAACACCGAUGGCGAAGGCAAUCCCCUGGGCCUGCACUGACGCUCAUGCACGAAAGCGUGGGGAGCAAACAGGAUUAGAUACCCUGGUAGUCCACGCCCUAAACGAUGUCAACUGGUUGUUGGGAAGGUUCCUUCUCAGUAACGUAGCUAACGCGUGAAGUUGACCGCCUGGGGAGUACGGCCGCAAGGUUGAAACUCAAAUGAAUUGAC
rnacentral:rRNA from 1 species